AGUGAACGCUGGCGGUAGGCCUAACACAUGCAAGUCGAACGGCAGCACAGUAAGAGCUUGCUCUUACGGGUGGCGAGUGGCGGACGGGUGGGGAAUACAUCGGAAUCUACUUUUUCGUGGGGGAUAACGUAGGGAAACUUACGCUAAUACCGCAUACGACCUACGGGUGAAAGCAGGGGAUCUUCGGACCUUGCGCGAUUGAAUGAGCCGAUGUCGGAUUAGCUAGUUGGCGGGGUAAAGGCCCACCAAGGCGACGAUCCGUAGCUGGUCUGAGAGGAUGAUAAGCCACACUGGAACUGAGACACGGUCCAGACUCCUACGGGAGGCAGCAGUGGGGAAUAUUGGACAAUGGGCGCAAGCCUGAUCCAGCCAUACCGCGUGGGUGAAGAAGGCCUUCGGGUUGUAAAGCCCUUUUGUUGGGAAAGAAAAGCAGCAGGUUAAUACCCCGCUGUUCUGACGGUACCCAAAGAAUAAGCACCGGCUAACUUCGUG
rnacentral:rRNA from 1 species